CCUACGGGUGGCAGCAGUAGGGAAUUUUCGGCAAUGGGCGAAACCCUGACGGAGCAACGCCGCGUGAACGAAGAAGGCCUUCGGAUUGUAAAGUUCUGUCAUAGACGAGGAAUGGUGUUCGUAGGAAAUGCCGUACAAAUGACGGUACCCUGAGAGGAAGCACCGGCUAACUACGUGCCAGCAGCCGCGGUAAUACGGAGGUGGCGAGCGUUAUCCGGAAUCAUUGGGCGUAAAGGGGAAGCAGGCGGCCAGGUGGGUGUAUUGUUAAAAGGCAGUGGCUUAACCAUUGUAAGGCGAAGAAACCGGCAGGCUAGAGUUCUAAAGAGGAUCGUAGAAUUCCAUGUGUAGCGGUGAAAUGCGUAGAGAUAUGGAGGAACACCAGUGGCGAAGGCGACGAUCUGGGAAGAAACAGACGCUGAGUCCCGAAAGCAUGGGGAGCAAAUAGGAUUAGAUACCCUAGUAGUC
rnacentral:rRNA from 1 species